rnacentral:rRNA from 1 species
GACGAACGCUGGCGGCGUGCCUAAUACAUGCAAGUAGAACGCAGUUGCGAACGGGUGAGUAACGCGUAGGUAACCUGCCUCAUAGCGGGGGGUAACUAUUGGAAACGAUAGCUAAUACCUCAUGCUGUGAGAUGGACCUGCGUUGUAUUAGCUAGUUGGUGAGGUAAAGGUUCACCAAGGCGACGAUACAUAGCCGACCUGAGAGGGUGAUCGGCCACACUGGGACGGAGACAGGGCCCAGACUCCUACGGGAGGCAGCAGGAGGGAAUCUUCGGAAAUGGUCGAAAGUCUGACCGAGGAACGCCGCGUGAGUGAAGAAGGUUUUCGGAUCGGAAAACUCUGUUGUUAGAGAAGCGGUAUCUAACCAGAAGGCCACGACUAACUACGUGCCAGCAGCCGCGGUAAUUC